AUAUUACUAAGCGGAGGAAAAGAAAUUAACAAAGAUUACCUUAGUAGGGGCGACUGAACAGGUAAGAGCCCAAGAUGAAAAUCUAUGCCUUAGACAUAGAGUUGUAAUCUUAUCAACAAGGAGGAGUCUUCUCGUAUAAGUUUCCUUGGAACAGGACGACAAAGAGGGUGAAAUCCCCGUAUUUGGCGAGAGGACGAAUUCAUUUGGAUGAGACUGAGUCAAGCUACUUGGUAUUGUAGCUUAAAUAGGGAGAUAAACUUCUUCCAAGGCUAAAUAUCGAUGAGAAACCGAUAGCGAACAAGUACUGUGAAGGAAAGAUGAAAAGAGCUUUGAAAAGAGGGUUAAAAGACUUGAAACCGUUGAAAUGGAAGCGAUAAAAGCUGGCUAAUUGCAGAAGCAAAGGCUUGUUUGGGCGAAGCGGAGGCAAAUAGCCGAAGUGGCCUGUAUGCAAGUACUUACUUCUGUAAAAGGCAAAAUCAGGUGUGGAGCUCCGAAUAGCGAAAGCGAAGGAAAGACUCGCCUGAGGACGAUUUUGCCAAAACGGCUUUUACCGA
rnacentral:rRNA from 1 species